rnacentral:rRNA from 1 species
AAAUUGAAGAGUUUGAUCAUGGCUCAGAUUGAACGCUGGCGGCAGGCCUAACACAUGCAAGUCGAGCGGUAGCACAGAGAGCUUGCUCUCGGGUGACGAGCGGCGGACGGGUGAGUAAUGUCUGGGAAACUGCCUGAUGGAGGGGGAUAACUACUGGAAACGGUAGCUAAUACCGCAUAAUGUCGCAAGACCAAAGUGGGGGACCUUCGGGCCUCAUGCCAUCAGAUGUGCCCAGAUGGGAUUAGCUAGUAGGUGGGGUAACGGCUCACCUAGGCGACGAUCCCUAGCUGGUCUGAGAGGAUGACCAGCCACACUGGAACUGAGACACGGUCCAGACUCCUACGGGAGGCAGCAGUGGGGAAUAUUGCACAAUGGGCGCAAGCCUGAUGCAGCCAUGCCGCGUGUGUGAAGAAGGCCUUCGGGUUGUAAAGCACUUUCAGCGGGGAGGAAGGCGUUAAGGUUAAUAACCUCAUCGAUUGACGUUACCCGCAGAAGAAGCACCGGCUAACUCCGUGCCAGCAGCCGCGGUAAUACGGAGGGUGCAAGCGUUAAUCGGAAUUACUGGGCGUAAAGCGCACGCAGGCGGUCUGUCAAGUCGGAUGUGAAAUCCCCGGGCUCAACCUGGGAACUGCAUUCGAAACUGGCAGGCUAGAGUCUUGUAGAGGGGGGUAGAAUUCCAGGUGUAGCGGUGAAAUGCGUAGAGAUCUGGAGGAAUACCGGUGGCGAAGGCGGCCCCCUGGACAAAGACUGACGCUCAGGUGCGAAAGCGUGGGGAGCAAACAGGAUUAGAUACCCUGGUAGUCCACGCCGUAAACGAUGUCGAUUUGGAGGUUGUGCCCUUGAGGCGUGGCUUCCGGAGCUAACGCGUUAAAUCGACCGCCUGGGGAGUACGGCCGCAAGGUUAAAACUCAAAUGAAUUGACGGGGGCCCGCACAAGCGGUGGAGCAUGUGGUUUAAUUCGAUGCAACGCGAAGAACCUUACCUGGUCUUGACAUCCACAGAACUUUCCAGAGAUGGAUUGGUGCCUUCGGGAACUGUGAGACAGGUGCUGCAUGGCUGUCGUCAGCUCGUGUUGUGAAAUGUUGGGUUAAGUCCCGCAACGAGCGCAACCCUUAUCCUUUGUUGCCAGCGGUUCGGCCGGGAACUCAAAGGAGACUGCCAGUGAUAAACUGGAGGAAGGUGGGGAUGACGUCAAGUCAUCAUGGCCCUUACGACCAGGGCUACACACGUGCUACAAUGGCAUAUACAAAGAGAAGCGACCUCGCGAGAGCAAGCGGACCUCAUAAAGUAUGUCGUAGUCCGGAUUGGAGUCUGCAACUCGACUCCAUGAAGUCGGAAUCGCUAGUAAUCGUAGAUCAGAAUGCUACGGUGAAUACGUUCCCGGGCCUUGUACACACCGCCCGUCACACCAUGGGAGUGGGUUGCAAAAGAAGUAGGUAGCUUAACCUUCGGGAGGGCGCUUACCACUUUGUGAUUCAUGACUGGGGUGAAGUCGUAACAAGGUAACCGUAGGGGAACCUGCGGUUGGAUCACCUCCUUA